UACGAACUGUGCAAACGUUAUUCGGAAUUACUGGUCUUACAGGGUGCGUAGGCGGUUUGUUAAGUAGGGCGUGAAAGCCCCCGGCUCAACCGGGGAAUUGCGCCCUAAACUGGCGGACUGGAGUGAGAUAGGGGUGUGCGGAACUUCCGGUGGAGCGGUGAAAUGUGUUGAUAUCGGAAGGAACGCCGGUGGCGAAAGCGGCACACUGGAACUCAACAGACGCUGAGGCACGAAAGCCAGGGGAGCGAACGGG
rnacentral:rRNA from 1 species